AAAAAGACAACUUGUGGUAAACAUUUGCAAUGGUAAGUAAUUCACAAUACACAAUUAAUGUAAUUGUUUGCUAGCGUUUGUACUGAUUAUCAAAAAGGGCUUACACUCUACACUAACUAUAAUGAAUGAAUGCAUAUAUGACUACAUGUACGAACCACAGAUCAUUUUUCAAUACUUUUUACUAUGUAAAAGUAUUGCUUUUACAUAUGCAAGUUAAAACAACAAUGGGAAAGAAAAAUACAUUAUUAUAAGAGAUUCUGGAGUAGCACUGCAUAUCUCUGAAGGCACCAUUAAUGAUGAUUGACAUUACAGAUGUUUCGGAACAAUAAAUGCUGCCAGAAAGAAGGCGUGCUGAUGUCAGGAAGACAAUGCCAUAACACUUUGUGCGUGUAUUACAGCAGUAUGUUACUGAACUGGUCUGGCAGCGGUCCAGACCUAAUGCAAACACAGUAGAAAGAAAAAAAAAUGUUGACAGUGAUUAAAUACCAAGCUCUUUAGCUUCUGUCUUCUUAAUGACCAAACUGCAAACCAACCAAGUUUUAUAUUUGUUUGAGCAUUAAAAUGAAGUGUAUUUCACCUGACAGAGGAGAAAAACAACUAUUACAGCAAAACACAGGGGAAAGGACACCAGUGAGGCACUCGCUGAUGUGGGCAGACAUAAUUUACAGAACUCUGGCUAUGACCUUGACAGUAAUGAUAGAUUUACAGUUAGAAUCACUUUCAGAAAAAUAUAUGUGCAACAGUAACAUUGAUUUGCAGCUCUGUUACUUCUUUCCCGGCUAUGUUUUUGUCAUGAUCUAAUAACAAAUAUUUAUUUUCUCGGCUUCCAAAAGGUUUAAUCUGGUUUAAUUUUCAUGGUCUGGGGGUUGGAUGCAUAAUGUAUUUGAGCGACAUCGACUUCUUUUCUAGAUAGGGUUGAUGAGCUGAAAACAGCAAACACAUUAUUUAAUGGAAACUGCAGAGCUGGUGCCACAGACGGACAAACCACGUUUUUUUUUGUUUUUUUUUUCAGUUUCCUAAAUGCAUUACAAUAAAAUGAUAAUUAGCUAUUUCCCCAUAACUGGUAGCGUCUACAUCGUUCCCCGUGUCUCACAUAGUCCAAAUAUAGAAUAUAUUUUCUUGCAGUAGUAAAAUCCGGAAGUUACACCAGUGACUAAGCACAACAAAAGGCAACUGAAAAGUUGAAGUGCACUGAAAACAAAAUAAGACCAUAUGUGAGCAUCGUCACAGGAUGCCUGCUGUAAAUGAAAACUUGUAGUAGUAGCCAUAAAAGAGGAAACAGAAAGAUCUACGAGUAACUGGUGCGUCAAGAAAACGCCCCGCGCAGAGAUCCGCUGUAAUCCUCUUCAGCAAACACGCCGUCACCUACCCACGUGGAGCUAAUAAAACUGCAGCUACCAAUGGAAUUUGUUAGCUCUUUAUUUGAUUACUUUGUAUUGCCUUUUAUUGUAUUACAGAUGUUAAUGCACAUUUAAGAAAUCCCACCUGGCAAUUUAACUUCACUCUUGCAAUAAUUAAUCUUUUAAACUGAAGUCAAGUAUAUCAUUAAAAACAAAUGACGACAUGCGUAUUUCUGCAUACUUGGUCUAAACAGUAACAGCCGUAUCCUCAGCUUCAAUGCAUUGCCACACAGUUGGAGGACAAAAUAUGUGCAAAAAAAUAAAAAACUAAACACAACAGUGUCAUCACAAAGUGGAACAGCUGCCUGCUCAACUGAAAUGUAAGUGGCUGUAGGUCUGAGGCCCUCUCACUCAUGUAGUGUACAAACUGUAAUCUGCUUGCUUACUUUACAUUUAGACUUGACACAGUGGUAGUAUUCUAUUACAGCUUUCCAUCCAAGGGGGUUUGCAUUCACCUGUGUCAACUUUAACUUAAAAACACUCCAUUAACAGUCACUGCAGAUCAGGCAA